rnacentral:misc_RNA from 1 species
GAACUGCGAUAAGUAAUGUGAAUUGCAGAAUUCAGUGAAUCAUCGAGUCUUUGAACGCACAUUGCGCCCCCUGGCAUUCCGGGGGGCAUGCCUGUCCGAGCGUCAUUGCUGCCCUUCAAGCCCGGCUUGUGUGUUGGGUCGUCGUCCCCCCCGGGGGACGGACCCGAAAGGCAGCGGCGGCACCGUGUCCGGUCCUCGAGCGUAUGGGGCUUUGUCACCCGCUCGAUUAGGACCGGCUGGGCGCCCGCCGGCGUCAAACCCCCAAUCUUUCUAAGGUUGACCUCGGAUCAGGUAGGGAUACCCGCUGAACUUAAGC